CGCUCGCUGGCGCGGGUGCCUGUGCUGCUGCCGCUGCCGCCGGCGACGAUGCGCCAGCAGCUCGAUCCCUGGUUCGAGCGCGAGGGCGUGCGCCC
rnacentral:tRNA from 2 species